rnacentral:lncRNA from 1 species
CACACACAUAUACAAGCCACACAUAUACAGAGGCAGACUCUUCUACCCUGUUCUUUUCCUGUGAUGUUGGUAACAUAGCUUUCUUUCUUCCUUAAUUGACUAUGAGGGUUUCUCUAAAUCCACUUUGGAUAUACAGACCAUUUUCAUCCUUGGUCUUUUGUUCCAUCCAAGUUUCUCCUAAUGCUCUCUGUGCAGCCGCACCUGACCUUUCACUGUCCCCAUCUUUCCUCACCAGUCACUUUAAUCCAUUUAGAAAAUAUCAAGGCCCAGCUGUGUGCCUUGGAGGUACAGCUUAUAAACUGUCUUUCUCCAAGAGCUAGGAAAUGUAGAUAAAUGAUCAAACAGUUGCGGCAUGGUGAGAGCACUGUCACACUUCCACUCCUGAUAUGCUCUGUCUCUUUUAGAGCCUGGCAUUGGUGACAUCACACGAGGUCAAGGAAUGACCUUGAUUAGCUGUGAACUAAUGCGUCUUUACUGAUAAAAACAGGGUUUGCAUUGAAUUUUGGGAAGGAAAAGGGAGUCAGUAUGUAUUGAGUGAUGACUCUGCAUGCCAAAUGCUAUGCUGGGCCUGCUGGAAUGCAGCCUCUUACUCAUCACAAUCACCCUAAAAGGAGGGGAGAUUGUAAGAGGUGUAGAGAACCCAAAGGUGGUCCAGCCAGGAAGCAAGACUGCGAGAUCCAUAGGUUCCAUUUCCAUGUAAUUGGUUUUCCUGAGCUGCAGAGUCCUGCAAGGCUGAACUCAUCCCACCCCUGUGAUGUGAGAUGGACAAAGAUCGAAAGAAAUGAAUCGGCUUUCUUAAAUCUGUCAGUCCCCCAGGGGAGGCGCAGUUUCCAGUUGUUCGCUCUGUCCUAGUUGUCUCCUCUUACUCAAAGGUCAGGUAAAUAAUGGCUCCAGAGUGGAACAAAAGGCAGAAAGGCACAGAGGAGGGAUGACUAAGACUUGAGUCAGAAUAUUGACCUUCAGAAUAGGACUCCAAGACCCAGCUGCUUGUUUAUGUUGCC